GACGAACGCUGGCGGCGUGCUUAACACAUGCCAGUCGAACGGAAAGGCCCUGCUUUUGUGGGGUGCUCGAGUGGCGAACGGGUGAGUAACACGUGAGUAACCUGCCCUUGACUUUGGGAUAACUUCAGGAAACUGGGGCUAAUACCGGAUAGGAGCUCCUGCUGCAUGGUGGGGGUUGGAAAGUUUCGGCGGUUGGGGAUGGACUCGCGGCUUAUCAGCUUGUUGGUGGGGUAGUGGCUUACCAAGGCUUUGACGGGUAGCCGGCCUGAGAGGGUGACCGGCCACAUUGGGACUGAGAUACGGCCCAGACUCCUACGGGAGGCAGCAGUGGGGAAUAUUGCACAAUGGGCGGAAGCCUGAUGCAGCAACGCCGCGUGCGGGAUGACGGCCUUCGGGUUGUAAACCGCGUUCGCCUGUGACGAAGCGUGAGUGACGGUAAUGGGUAAAGAAGCACCGGCUAACUACGUG
rnacentral:rRNA from 1 species